UUUAGUCCGGGUGACUCACCUGCUCUGUAAACUGUGAUGUUAUUUAGAUAAACCUCUAAUAGGUGCCUGAAGGUUUAUGUUUUCCUGGAUGUUUGAGGAAAUAAAGACUAAACCUGCAUAAAGCUGUGGAGCAAACAGCGAGAUGGAGGCUGAUAUGGAACAAUAACAGAGACACAAUGAGAGGAAAGUAACACCUAAAAGAUAAACGUGAUAAGUUGGAGCUGCUGACUCCAGGUCAAUGAUUUUAUGAUAAGAACAUAUUUAAUGAUCCACUGAUCAAUUAUAUCCUUAACUUUUAUACCAUCAGCGAGCAGCGGCACCCAGUCCAUCUCAUAUUCUGUCCUUUGAGGCUGAUUUACACAAAAACCUCCAUGAUCCGGUUAUUCCUGAACCUAAUCAGCAUCCUCAGCUUCUGAUUGGCUCCUCUCUGGACCUAUCUGAGCUUCUGUCUGGUGUCCAACCAGGGAUGUUUCCUCCUUGGGGAAAAGCUGUGGAUGACCUUCAUAUCUGGACCAGGACUCGGUUCAGACUAGGGAUGCACAUUUAUUGUUAUCCCGUAAAAUCUUCUCACCGUGGAUCGAGGCGCGCGCGGCAGGUGUGGACUCACCUGUAGAAGUUCUCCGAACCUCCGAUGGCCACCAGGCAGUAGGUGUUGGUGAGUUUGGCGAAGCAGCCGACCUCGUUGUUCUUCUCGAAGGAGGCUCUGACGGCCAUGAUGGGACGUUCAGGUCCAGGACAAACAGACACGUUCUUCUCCGGAACCGGGACAGAACCUGGAGUUAUUUUCAGCUAGCCAACAG